UAUAGAGGGUGCGAGCGUUAAUCGGAAUUACUGGGCGUAAAGCGCACGUAGUCGGCUUUGCAAGUCGGUUGUGAAAUCCCCGGGCUCAACCUGGGAACUGCAUCCGAGACUGCAUUGCUAGAGUAUGGGAGAGGAAAGCGGAAUUUCUGGUGUAGCAGUGAAAUGCGUAGAUAUCAGAAGGAACAUCAGUGGCGAAGGCGGCUUUCUGGACCAAUACUGACGAUCAGGUGCGAAAGCGUGGGGAGCAAACAGG
rnacentral:rRNA from 1 species